rnacentral:lncRNA from 1 species
CUCGUUAUUCAACAGCUCCUGUUUAAGUUGAUGGAUAGUAAGCUUUUUGAUAUCCAGCUCUUCACCAUACUGUCUUUUAAUCCUUUCAAGUUCAUCAAUUUUGUUCCUCAGAGAUUUCUCUACAGAACGCAUUGUGGACACCUCGCUUUGUACUUGCUGAAGUUGUUUCAUGGCAUCAGAAAGUUUUUCUUUCAAAUCUGCAUACUCUUCUUCUUUCCUCUCCAAAUCUCUCUUCA